rnacentral:rRNA from 2 species
UAGUCGAGGGGAAACGACAUCGAAAGCUUGCUUUUGAUGGGCGUCGACCGGCGCACGGGUGAGUAACGCGUAUCCAACCUGCCCACCACUUGGGGAUAACCUUGCGAAAGUAAGACUAAUACCCAAUGAUAUCUCUAGAAGACAUCUGAAAGAGAUUAAAGAUUUAUCGGUGAUGGAUGGGGAUGCGUCUGAUUAGCUUGUUGGCGGGGUAACGGCCCACCAAGGCUACUAUCAGUAGGGGUUCUGAGAGGAAGGUCCCCCACAUUGGAACUGAGACACGGUCCAAACUCCUACGGGAGGCAGCAGUGAGGAAUAUUGGUCAAUGGACGAGAGUCUGAACCAGCCAAGUAGCGUGCAGGAUGACGGCCCUAUGGGUUGUAAACUGCUUUUAUAAGGGAAUAAAGUGAGUCUCGUGAGACUUUUUGCAUGUACCUUAUGAAUAAGGACCGGCUAAUUCCGUGCCAGCAGCCGCGGUAAUACGGAAGGUCCGGGCGUUAUCCGGAUUUAUUGGGUUUAAAGGGAGCGUAGGCCGGAGAUUAAGCGUGUUGUGAAAUGUAGACGCUCAACGUCUGCACUGCAGCGCGAACUGGUUUCCUUGAGUACGCACAAAGUGGGCGGAAUUCGUGGUGUAGCGGUGAAAUGCUUAGAUAUCACGAAGAACUCCGAUUGCGAAGGCAGCUCACUGGAGCGCAACUGACGCUGAAGCUCGAAAGUGCGGGUAUCGAACAGGAUUAGAUACCCUGGUAGUCCGCACGGUAAACGAUGGAUGCCCGCUGUUGGUCUGAAUAGGUCAGCGGCCAAGCGAAAGCAUUAAGCAUCCCACCUGGGGAGUACGCCGGCAACGGUGCAACUCAAAUGAAUUGACGGA